rnacentral:rRNA from 1 species
AAUUGCAGAACUCCGUGAACCAAUGGCCUCUUGAACGUGCAUUGCGCUCUUGGGAUAUGCCUGAGAGCAUGUCUGCUUCAGUGCUUCUACU